GAUGUUCCCUUCAGUGGGGUAACGAGCGCAACCCUCGCCGUAUGUUAAAUUGUUCAUACGGGACUGGUCGCCUUUGGCGACAGGAAGUGGGGACGACGUUAAGUCAGCAUGGCCCUUAUGUCCAGGGCAACACACAUGCUACAAUGAAGCCGACAAUGGGUUGCCAAGUGGUAACACGGAGCUAAUCCCAUCAAACGGCUUCUCAGUGGGGAUUGGGGGCUGCAACUCGCCCUCAUGAACGCGGAAUUGGUAGUAAUCGCGAAUCAGCUAAGUCGCGGUGAAUACGUUCUCGGGUCUUGUACACACCGCC
rnacentral:rRNA from 1 species